UACUAUGUUACGACUUAUCUUACCUUAAUAGUAAGAGUGACGGGCGAUGUGUGCAUAUUUUAGAGCUAAAAUCAAAACUAUAAUCUUUUAAUUUUUACUAUCAAAUCCACCUUCAUUAAUUUUUUUAAAAAUUAAAUUCGUUUAAAUAAAUUUAUUGUAACCCAUCUCUUCUUAAACAUAAGCUACACCUUGAUCUGAUAUAAAUUCUAAAUUAAAUUAUUGAAAAUUAUUAUUCUAAUAAAAUAUUCUGAUAACGACGGUAUAUAAACUGAAAUACAAAUUUAAGUGAGGUGCAUCGUGGAUUAUCAAUUACAGGACAGGUUCCUCUGAAUAGACUAAAAUACCGCCAAAUUUUUUAAGUUUCAAGAACAUAACUAAUACUACCUAAGUGCUUAUUUUUACAUUUUAAAUAAUAGGGUAUCUAAUCCUAGUUUA
rnacentral:rRNA from 1 species